CCUACGGGAGGCUGCAGUGAGGAAUAUUGGUCAAUGGACGCAAGUCUGAACCAGCCAUGCCGCGUGCAGGAAGACGGCUCUAUGAGUUGUAAACUGCUUUUGUACGAGGGUAAAUCCCGAUACGUGUAUCGGGUUGAAAGUAUCGUACGAAUAAGGCUCGGCUAACUCCGUGCCAGCAGCCGCGGUAAUACGGAGGAUUCAAGCGUUAUACGGAUUUAUUGGGUUUAAGGGGUGCGUAGGCGGUUCGAUAAGUUAGAGGUGAAAUCCCGGGGCUCAACUCCGGCACUGCCUUUGAUACUGUCUGGCUGGAGUGUAGGAGCGGUAGGAGGAAGGUAUGGUGUAGCGGUGAAAUGCAUAGAGAUCAUACAGAACACCGAUUGCGAAGGCAGCUUACCAGACUACGACUGACGUUGAGGCACGAAAGCGUGGGGAGCAAACAGGAUUAGAUACCCGGGUAGUC
rnacentral:rRNA from 1 species